rnacentral:rRNA from 1 species
AGGAUUAACGCUGGCGGCGUGCCUAACACAUGCAAGUCGAACGAGGUAGCAAUACCUAGUGGCAGACGGGUGAGUAGCGCGUGGUCAACCUACCGUUGAGUGGGGGAUAACUAGCCGAAAGGUUAGCUAAUACCGCAUACGUCUCCGAGGGGCAUCCCUUGGCGAUAAAAGGAGCAAUCCGCUCGAUGACGGGACCGCGUCCCAUUAGCUAGUUGGUGGGGUAACGGCCUACCAAGGCGUCGAUGGGUAGCUGGUUUGAGAGAGCGACCAGCCACACUGGGACUGAGAUACGGCCCAGACUCCUACGGGAGGCAGCAGUGAGGAAUUUUCCGCAAUGGGCGAAAGCCUGACGGAGCGACGCCGCGUGUGGGAAGAAGGCCUUCGGGUCGUAAACCACUGUCGAAGGGGAAGAUAAUGACGGUACCCUUGGAGGAGCCCGGCUAACUACGCGCCAGCAGCCGC